UGGGCCCGGCUGCUCUCUCUCUCUCAUUCUUUCUUUUCCCGUCGUCUUCUUCCUCCAGCCGGGCAGAGGCAGCGCGCAUGGCGCGGCUGGGCGCAGCCGAGACGGCGUGAGACCGGCACGGUAGCGGCUGGGAAAGAAGGAGAGGAGGAGCUCCGGGAUGGCUUGUCCACGGCGAGCUCACCGGCGGCAAAACGGUGGCCGAACAGGCACGGCUUCGGUUGCUAA
rnacentral:lncRNA from 1 species